rnacentral:pre_miRNA from 1 species
AGGAGGAACAACCGCAGUGGCGGGGCCAGCUCUGGAGCCCUGGAUUCAGCCCCCGCAGUAACUCCGGAGCUCUCCGUCUGCAGGGCCUGGAGGCUCCGGGGCGGG